rnacentral:rRNA from 1 species
UACGGGGGGGCAAGCGUUGUUCGGAAUUCCUGGGCGUAAAGGGCUCGUAGGCUGCCAACUAAGUCGGAUGUGAAAUCCCCAAGCUUAACUUGGGAACUGCAUCCGAUACUGGAUGGCUUGAAUCCGGGAGAGGGAUGCAGAAUUCCAGGUGUAGCGGUGAAAUGCGUAGAUAUCUGGAGGAAUACCGGUGGCGAAGGCGGCAUCCUGGACCGGCAUUGACGCUGAGGAGCGAAAGCUAGGGGAGCAAACGGG